rfam:Leucoagaricus sp. SymC.cos contig9370, whole genome shotgun sequence.
GAGUGGGCCAGGUCACUGGGUCCCCAUUGCUACUUCAAUGGUCUAUUUAAUAUUGAUGACCUUGAUGAAAGCAGGGACUAUGUGAUCUUUGAUGAUCUCAGUUAUGAGUUCUUCCCACAGUAUAAGGGAUGGUUGAGAGCCCAGAAGAGUAUGGUUCUCAUGGACAAGUAUAGGGGUAAGAGAAUGGUGAAAUGGGGUAAGCCAUGCAUCUGGUUACACAAUAGUGACCCUAUGAUAGCAGCCACUAACUGGGAUAGAGAAUGGCUAAGAGCUAAUACCAUCAUAGUUAGAUUAGACCACUCUUUGUAUGAUCUGGUUCCUGUACCCCAAGUAGAUAAUACUGUAUACUUAGAGGAUCUGCCCUUGAUCUAUGGGCAUUAAUUAAUUAUAUUUUAAACUCUAACAAAUAUUUAUGAGGAAAGGACCUUCCAUCUCAACACACUAAGGUUGGAUAGGGUGACUUGGUCAAUGCUUGGGAGAAGGAUUUAUGAGUUAACAUCAAUCAGAGUGUUCAAAGCAGGCCUAUGCCCAAAUACAUUAGCAUGGAAUAAUAAAAUAGGACAUGGGGUUUUAUGAAUCAAGGGUCAUAGGCAGGAUAGUUGGGGGCAUUGGUAUUGAGUCACUAGAGAUGAAAUUCUUGGAUUGACUCAAGACUGGCUACUGUGAAAGCAUUUGCCAAGGAUGUUUUCAUUAAUCAAGAAUGAAGGUUAGGAGAUUGAAAAUGAUCAGAUAUGGAAGAAGUGAAAUUAGUAGCAAAGAGCUUAUAAUGAGGUGGAAAAAGAUGAUUGACCUUAAGCUAAAGCUGGACUGGAGAGCAAUCCAGAAGAUAGGAGAUUUUAACCAGAAGAAAAAAAGAACCAAAGUCUUCAUAGAUAAAUGGGCUAAAUGUGGUGACCUCAUUGAAAUAAGUAAUGACAGAAAAACUAUCUCAACAUUGUUCUAGGGACCUUGCCUCAUACUGGACCUGCCCAGAGGAGAUGGGGGCACCUGCUCUAAUGGUGUCUGAAACUGAGACUCCUAAGGCAUCUUGGUUAUCACAGGAAGUGUGCUGGACUUGUCCAGGCAGCACUGGGGGGUUUUUAGUGGGUUGGGACUCUCCCAAGCCUACACUCAGUCGACAGAUCAAAAGGUCGAUUUUUCCCUGCCAAAAAAAAAAAGUGAUCAGAUACUGUUGUAGCCUUAACAGUAAACUAUGCUGACUAGGGAUUGGACAACCUCAAAUUUGAUGUGUUGUUUGGCACCUUACGAGAAAUCAAAGCCUUUGGGUUCUGGGGAGAGUAUGGUCAUAAGGCUGAAACUUAAAAGAAUUGAUGGAAGGGCACCACCAAGUGUGGAGCCUGUGGCUUAAUUUGACUCAACACGUGGAAACUCACCAGGUCCAGACAUGACUAGGAUUGAUAGAUUGAUAACUCUUUCAUGAUUUUAUGGGUGGUGGUGCAUGGCUGUUCUUAGUUGGUGGAGUGAUUUGUCUGGUUAAUUCCAAUAAUGAACAAGACCUUAACCUGCUAAAUAACUAGGCUGGCUUUUGCUGGUUGCCAGCUUCUUAGAGGGACUGUCAGCAUCUAGCUGAUAGAAGUUUGAGGCAAUAACAGGUCUCUCAAGCUGGUGCUGAGGGCAACAAUGAGAAGGUUGAAAUUCUUGGCUACAAGCCAGCCUAUGUCAUGCUUUUGCCAGUCAUGUGAUCUAUC